UAAACUUAUAGGAUAUACUCUGCAGGGUUAUUAUAAGAUUUCUGUAGCUAAUGAAUUUGAAUGAUUAUAAAAGCAAAUUGAGCAAUUUUACCUUUCGAUUUCGCAGAUAAUUAUGUUGUAGUAUUGUGAUGCCGUUUGGGAGUUGAGCCGUAAAGAAACACAAGCACAACACAACACCGAGAGGGAAGACCCCGGGCGAAAAAGAUCCCGUGCGAUCCCCCCUCAGAAC